rnacentral:rRNA from 1 species
CCUACGGGUGGCAGCAGUGAGGAAUAUUGGUCAAUGGGCGAGAGCCUGAACCAGCCAAGUCGCGUGAGUGAAGACGGUCCUACGGUUUGUAAACCUCUUUUGUCAGGGAGCAAGGAGCGCCACGAGUGGUGCGGCGAGAGUACCUGAAGAAAAAGCAUCGGCUCACUCCGUGCCCGCAGCCGCGGGAAUACGGAGGAUGCGAGCGUUAUUCGGAUUUAUUGGGUUUAAAGGGUGCGCAGGCUGAAGCGGCAAGUCAGCGGUAAAAUUGCGGGGCUCAACCUCGCCGAGCCGUUGAAACUGCUCGUCGAGAGUGGGCGAGAAGGAGGCGGAAUGCGUGGUGUAGCGGUGAAAUGCAGAGAUAUCAGGCAGAACUCCGGUUGCGAAGGCAGCAUACCGGCGCCCAACUGACGCUCAUGCACGAAAGCGUGGGUAUCGAACGGGAUUAGAUACCCUUGUAGUC